ensembl:lncRNA
UCUGUGCAUUGUUCAGCUGGUCUGUUUUGUAAGUUCUGAAGUCAUGAGAGUUUCAUUAGGAGCAGGUCUAAGUAGUGUGUGUAUGUGUGUGUGUCCUGUACAGUGACCCAGCAGCAGUGCUAUGAGAGCUAGCAGCAUGCCGCUCCUUUAAUGACCUAUGAGAGCUGUGGACCCAGGCCAUACACGGGGAACCUGAGAACCUGCUGAGCAACUUCUGUUGAUCUAAGCCAGCAGGUGAGAUGCAUCAAUUCACAGGAGUCCGUCAUAGACCUCCACAGCCUGAGAAAUUUAACCUCUUGAUGAAAACCGCAAUGUCCUGACCUAAAACCAGAGAUGUGAACAACAGCAAAUAAAACACAGGAUAUACUCGAUGUAAGUGGCGUACUGCUCCUUGAGAGGCUCUCAUGGGUGUCCCGAGCAGCCCUGGCACCCUGUGUUCCUCUCCUUAGACCCGGGCCUGUGCCAUCUGCCUCUGUCACUGCCACCGCUGGGCACUGGGAGUCAGUGUGCAUGAGGCAGUCCUCUUCUUCUGCAAGAAAUCAACACACGCUGUGGCUGCUGCAGCUUUCAGCCGGCAAACAUAUUCCCGGAAAGAGCAAGAAGAAAUUACAACAAUGAGAAGGUUUGGAACCCUUUUUUAUGUGUUCAAAUAUUAUUUUAAGCAUAAAUAACAUUAAAGAACCCAUAAUAGUGUUUCAGUCAACUUAAGUUUUUAGUUGCAAGUAUAUAAAUA